GGGCCCGUAGCUCAAUGGUAGAGCGCCUCGCUGAUACCGAGAUGGUUGGGGGUUCGACUCCCCUCGGGUCCA
rnacentral:tRNA from 6 species